AUUUGACUGUGUAUUUAAUAAUUGCUGCUUUUCCUGCUGCUGAGAGUUGGUACUAUUUUAUAAAAGGCUUUUUCCAUCUCUAAAAGGAUCCUUUCGGAAUACUAAAGCCGGCCCACAUUUGACUGUUUUUUUUAAUAAUAACUGCUGCUGCUGCUGAGUGUUGGUACAAUUUUCUCAAAGACAUUUUCCAUCUCUGAAAGGAUCCUUUCAGAAUUCUAAAUCCGGCCCUUAUUUGACUGUGUAUUUAAUAAUUGCUGCUUUUGCUGCUGCUGAGAGUUGGUACAAUUUUAUAAAAGGCAUUUUCCAUCACUGAAAGGUUCCUUUCUGAUUUAUAAGUCUGUGCUUUGUUUGUCUGUGUAUUUAAAAAAUUGAGGAGCACUGACUACAAGUGCUUCGUUUCUGUACUGCUGGAGUUUUCGUUUCUGUACUGCUGGAGUUGUGCUGAGAACAGGAUCCUUUCUGAUUUCUAAGUCUGGCCUUUGUUUGUCUGUGUAUUUACAAAAUUAAGGAGCACCAACUAGUCUACAAAUGCUUCAUUUCUGUACUGCUGGAGUUGUGCUAGAAACGGGAAGAUACUUUCAGAUUUGCUAAAUCUGGCCUUUGUUUGACUGUUUAUUUACAAAAUUAAGAGCAACAAUUACAAAUGCUUUGUUUAUGGACUACAAAUUAAUCUACAGACUGCUGAUGGAACUGAGCUGAAAACAAAUCAGUUUCUGUAUUUUUCGAAAAAUGCUGCUUACUGCUGCUGCUGACAAUAUUCUUCCAUCUCUAUAUAAAAAUAAUUAUUCAUGCCAAUUAUUGGUGUUGUGGGGAGGAUUGUGGAGAAUUUUUUCAAGUGUUUAUUGAUUAUUAAAAAUAAAAUAAUAUAUAAAUACUAAGAA